UUUUUUUUUUUUUUUUUUUUACCAUCACGUCCAUUUUAUAGACAAGAAACAGGCGCAGUUACGCGUUAACGGGCACAGAGUCGCAGCAAACUGAACAUCAACCAUCGAGCCAGGUCCUGCCCACCGCAAGGUUUCUGGAACUCAGCGCUGAUGGGGUCAGGCCGGUUGGAUCCCAGGAAAAUCUCACUCAGAAGGCACACGCGGGCUGUCGCUGCACUAGCCCGGUGCUGGCCGCGCCACUCCCUCCCUACCGCACAGGGCUCGGAGCCCGGGUCUGGGGACUGGAUGGGACCGCGAGCAAGAGGGCAGAGCGGCUCUGCGCUCUUUUUGCCGUGACUCUUCAUCAAAUGAAUAUAAUAAUCACACCAAGCAGAUAUGGCUGGGUUAAAACACACUGAAGUCUCGUGUUUCCAGGACUUUGAAUGAAAGUCGAAUGAUCCAGUCUAACCACUCAUCAGAAGUACAUCACGUGGUGUGUCUGCCUUACACUCAAAUGACACCAGAGUCGUUGAGAGUGACUUCAGAAAAAUAAGAGCAUCUUAGACAUACUUAACUCGGAGUGAGGCCCGCAUAAGAGCACUGCUUAGGAAGUAUCAGCUCCUCAAAUGCCCAUCCCCCACUGUGCUCUCCCCAGUAGUGGGCGAUGCCGCUGCUUCUGACAGUAUUUCUUCUACAGUAUUUGAAGGACACGAUUCUACACAGAAUAACUCAACUUCCCUGGCCUUGACAUGUGGGCUGAGUUGGCCUAUAAGAGGAACAGAGACUCAAGCACAGACUUCAGAUGACUAAUGCUGGCUAACGACACGAAGAAAACCGUGGCAAGUGCUGAAGUUUUCUGUAGAUAAGCCCAUGUGGAUUAGAUGUAAUCUUCACUAUCCUCUUGUUUCCUUUUCUCUAAAGCUUCAGUUGAUUUCUCCUUACUUUCAUUCUUCUCAUUUUGACCAGAACUCAUGGGGCAGCCCUUGCUAGCCUGAAACUCCUUGUGUAGAUCAGGCUGUCCUUGAACUGGUGGCGAUCCUUGUGCUUCUGUCUUCAGACUUGUGGGCUUAUCGAUGUGUCCCACCAUGGUUGGAACUCCAGUUGAUAUUGGUAAAAUUUUAUUCAUGUGUCCUGAGGGAAACAGAAGGAGAGUGAACUUUCUGCUUGCCCAACGUGGGUUUUAAAAACCACUGCUGCUUCCUACUGCUCUACACGGUUCAGUUCCCUCACUGGUACAAUAAGGUGCACUAUCACUGCCUUGAGAAUAUUAUAGAUAUAUGUCCGCAGGUCUGGACAUGUGAUAAUUUCUUUACACAGAUUACCAAGAAAAAGUGGUAUGGUGUUUUAACAGAAAAGGAACAGCAAGUAAAACAGCCCACCACUAUAUACUGUGCAUAAAGUUAAAAAGAUCUCUGUGUCCAUCAUUUUCAUAAUGUGAUGUCCACUGUAUUUAGCAACAUACCAAUUUAUACACCAUUUCACGUAGAAAUCCACUUAAAAUGAUGUAAUGUAACUAAAAAUAAUUGAAUGUCACGGUCUUUUUCAAUGAAAAAAUAAACAUACUACCAAUUGUCAUUUAAUUAAAGUUAAUCUGUCUUAGUAGGUAUUCUAAUUUGGUGAUUUUUUUUUUCAAGAAAGCUUCAUUAAGUCUCCAUUCUCUAAAACUUUUUUUUGAAAUAAUUGUCUAUAUCAGAAGUGUGAAUAUAAUUAGUUGAAUCAAAAUCUUAGGUUCACAUAAGGAACAAAUGUAUAUUGCUUUAUGAAACUUUAAAAUAUUGAGAAUUUGGUUGUGAUUUUUUUUUUAAUUUUAGCUUUUUAAGCACUCUCUGAUGGGAAUCUGUUGUUACUUGCCCUUUGUGUGGAUGGCAGUAGGGGGGUGUGACAGAGAUAUCUGAAGAUGAGCCCAUUCUGAGAAAAGCAUCAUUACCCUUAUGGAGAAUUCCAUCCGUAUUGCUAAUGAAAAUGUUACUUGAAAACAUCCUAAAGAAGAAUUGUAUGCAAUUGUGAAGAGGUAUGGCUUACAAACAGUGUGGCAUAGAUUUGCUGGAAGAAUAUGCAUGAUGAUACGUUCUAGACUGAAGCAAAGUAGCUAUUCAAUGAGAACCAAUAUUUUAUGUCUUGCGAUGACUGAAUGGUAGACCUAACAUACAAUGUAUCUAGUUCCCUCUUUAUGGAGAUGGCUGGCUUCAUAUGGUACGGGUUCAUACUUGGAGGUGGCUAUGAUACAGUCCCAUUUCACUAAUGUUGACAUUAAGCAUAGCUUUGGGUUGGUCAUGGCCUUACGUUGAUAUCUGAGAACAUUUUGCCAUGUCUAGAUGGAACAUACUUCUUGGUUCUCCAUGCUCGUUGGGGUGGUGUGAAUAAGCUCAAAAUUUAAAAAUAAAACAAAAUAUGUUACUACAUAAUUUCUACUGGGUUUGGAGGGAAGAAAGGGAAGAGAAAAAUACUGUAAUUAUACUAUGAUUUCAAAAAUAAAAAAAAAUAAGUAUACUCAUAUACACAUACAGAGUGGACACUUAAAAGGUCAGAGUCCUUUCUUGCAAAGGUCAAAGUUAGGGCACUAAUUUAGAAGAUUAUGCCCUAGACUUGUAUUAAUCUCUGAUUUUUACCCAGAAUCUUCUGUAAAAGUUUUGACAACAAAGGUCUGCAACAGGCAGUAGAACGGAUAAUGGAAAGUUAUGAGUCAAGUUACUGGGUCCCUAAAAGCAACAGUAAUGUCAGGGCCUUAACAAGAUCAUGUGUUCUGUUUGAGGCUGGGCUCUCUUUUAUCAGAAUUGUCACUUGUUUGGUUUUGUUUAUAUUGAAAUAAAUGACUGGUGUGUGUGUGUGUGUGUGUGUGUGUGUGUGUGCCUCUGUGUGUGUGUAUGUGCGUGCGUGUAUGUGUGUGUGUGUAUGUGUGUGUAUAUGCCUGUGUGUGUGUGUCUGUGUGUGUGUGUGUAUGUGCCUGUGUGUGUAUGUGCUUCUGUGUGUGUGUGUCUGUGUGUGUGUAUGUGCCUGUGUGUGUGUGUCUGUGUGUGUGUGUAUGUGCCUGUGUGUGUGUAUGUGCCUGUGUAUGUGUGUGUAUGUGCCUGUGUGUGUGCCUGUGUGUGUGUGUGUAUGUGCCUGUGUGUGUGUGUAUGUGCCUGUGUGUGUAUAUGCCUGUGUGUGUGUCUGUGUGUGUGUGUGUGUAUGUGCCUGUGUGUGUGUAUAUGCCUGUGUGUGUGUCUGUGUGUGUGUAUGUGCCUGUGUGUGUGUGUGUAUGUGUGUGUAUAUGCCUGUGUGUGUGUGUGUAUGUGCCUGUGUGUGUGUAUGUGCCUGUGUGUGUGCCUCUGUGUGUGUGUGUGUAUGUGCCUGUGUGUGUGUGUAUGUGCCUGUGUGUGUGUAUGUGCCUGUGUGUGUGCCUGUGUGUGUGUGUGUGUAUAUGCCUGUGUGUGUGUGUAUGUGCCUGUGUGUGUGCCUGUGUGUGUGUGUGUAUGUGCCUGUGUGUGUGUAUGUGCCUGUGUGUGUGUGUGUGUGUGUGUGUGUGUGUGUGUGUGUGUGUAGAGGUUCUAUUAUAAUGGUUAUCAUUAAAGAACUGCCUUUGUUCCAUUUUACAACCAUCACAUUGGUGAUUUGAGUAAUAAAAGCUGACUGGCUUCCUUACUAAAAGUUCUUCUCAUAAUGGAGCAAAUUUAUGUACCGGGGUUCUCAUUUUCCAUGUUAGAUAGUUGAACAAAAAUGGGGAGAAGCUGUUAGUACUUGAACACUCAUUCUAGUUUUUGUGCACACUGAGGCUGGACAGGUUUUCUGGUGUUUGCAGAAGAAUUAAAAUAGUCAGCAAACCUUGCCACCACCUGCCUCACCCCAAUAUGUUUUCAUUAACUUUAACAGAAUCCCUAGGCUUAAAUGUGGUUUAUCCUAGAAUUUUAACACUCACCUCUUAUAAGAAUCACAUAUUGGUGGAUGUUUUCAUUUUAGCCAAAAAGGUAUGAUCAAAGACAGGUCAUAUUGGUUCCUUCUUUGCGACAGCUGGCCAAAUGGGCCAGGUACAGAUCAAAUGUUUUUGUUAGAGCAGCAUUCAAUAGGUAACAGUUGCCUGAAGCAGGUCAUGAAUGAGUUAGGGGAAAGAAUAAUAGAAACUGGAAAACCUUUGCAAAUCCACGGAAUAUUAGGUAUUUUGUGAAUCAGAAGCUGGAGAAAUUUCAUUUAUAGGAACGAGCACCUAGGUCAUAAAUAUGAUAUUUCAGCAGAUUGCCGCCUUACACGCCAUACCUGGGGCUGCUGCUGUGUUCUGGAUCUUGAGGGGAACUUCUCUGGGUUGGGAAGUUAAAUGCCUUGAAGGAAUCUUGACCUUCGUGAAGUUUGUGAUUUUCAAAUUCAGUCUCAUAAAGCACAUUUCUUUAACCUGUUACUGAUAAGCUUUAAAAAAAAAUCAAGGGGAUAGAGAGAUGGCUCAUCAGUUAGAAGCACUGGGUCAUCUUCCACAUAACCAACAUUCUGCUACCGGCACCUAUAUGGUGGUUCACUACUGUCUAUAAUGCCAGAAGAACUGACUUUUUGUUUUGGCCUCUGUAGGCACCAGGUAAACAGACAUACAUGUAGGCAAAACACUUAUACUCUUAAAAUAAGACCACCAGACCCUUCAAUCCAAAUACCAAAAUUCUAGUAUGUAAGCUGACCCUGAUUAAACCUGACCUCUUUCAAGGUAGUUUUCUGGUAUUUAUUGUGCCUUCAUGGUCCAGGGUAAUUCCCAGGAGGGAGCCUUAACUAAAAAGAAAAUGAAAUCUGAGCAUUCAUUAUUCAUUUUUCAUUAUUCAUUAUUCUCUGCUUCCUGACUGUGAACAUAGUGUGACCAUCUUCCUCAAAUUCCUCCUGCCCUUGAUCUCUCUCUCUCUCUCUCUCUCUCUCUCUCUCUCUCUCUCUCUCUCUCUCUCUCCUUUUCUUCUACCAUCUUCCCCAUCACAUUCCUACACUUUAAGGGGAAGGAAAAUUCUUUUGGGGAUCACUGUAUGGAAAGCCCCACUUGACAAGCCUUUGAGGGAGGUUAUAUUGGCCAGUGGUCAAUGAGGAAGUGAGGCCUGAGCCAGUAGCUUGAGAAAAGUUUCAUGAGUGACUUAGAACAGAGUCUCCCUUAGCACUCUUGAGAAGAUACUGAAUCCCAAGUGGGUGGAAAAGUUUUUAGAAAAAUUGGGUCAUAGACAUCUAGUUAAGUUACUUUUGAGUUAGGUGGCAGAACUCAAUUCUAUGAAAAACUGUUUUAGGAAGAAUAGGAUAAUCAGUGCAAAGUUUGGUGCCGGGAGUUGGCUUUUAAAAAUUAACUAUAACUAUAAUGUGUUAUCACCAUAAUUGUCCAAAAAUAAGCUGAUCAAUGACACCAACUGACGUGACAAAGUAGACUGGUGAAACCCCAUGAAGGUUCAAACUUAUGCAAAGGACAGCAGCUAACUGAGGAAAUCUGGGAUUGGAGUGGGAGAGGUGGCCUUCCCCAAAUAAGGACACACCAGUGCCACAGAGUCAGCUCUGAAAAAAUAUCCAUACAAGUGACUUAUAUGUACCAAACAGGUUAUAUCCAGGAGAGAAAAAGAAAGAGGGAGGAAGGGAAGAAGGGAGGGAGAAUACAUUAAAUAAAAAUUGAUGAAAAUAGAGGUCAUGAAUUUGAAGGACAGUGAGCAGAAGGGAGGCCAUGGAGGAAAGAAAUGGAAGGUAGAAGUGUUAAUUAAAUUAUCAAAAAGUAAAACAUGCCUGAAAUGUUCUAUAAUUUCUGCAAUUGGCCAGCAUAUUUUUUAGUUGAAAUGAAAAUAUUUGUGAGUGUAAUGCAUCCUCUAUAUUUGUGUUUAUGUUUAACUUCAUAGUCUCUUGCUUUUAUUUGUAGCUACUUUUCUUCUCUGCAGGAUUGUACCUGUUUUAGGGGGCAGAGCUAUGGUAUACUUGUAUUUAAACAAGGGGUAGCUUAUUGAGUAUAAUUUUAAAUACAUGCUUGUUUCUCACCUGGUGCCGCCAUCUGCAGCCUGAGAUCAGCCUUUGUAAUGGCCAUCUCACCCAGCCCCACAGCUAGAUUUGCCAAGCUGCUCCAGUCUCAUUCAGCUCCCUAAACUGCCAACUCUGAUGCUAUCCCCAUGAAAGCUGGGAACUUCUUUCCCUCUCAACCAGCCAACCUCUGGAAGCUAGCUCCUCCAAGCCUCUAACAACCAUCCAGGUUGUGCCCUUUCUCAUGCCCACCUCAGUCACCUUGAAAAGAAAACAUCAGACAGCCUUAAUAUUUUAAAACCAGAGAGAUAACACAACUGCUGGGUAUACAAUCUAUUGCCUUAAUCUCUUCAGCUAUCCUGUAUCAGAAUUCCACCUGUGGUAGAGGCUGCCCCCGGGGCCUUAAAUCUUUCUUCCUCAAAGCCAUCUUGAGUGUCACGCUAAUUACUAAUAGAUUUUUUGUUACUUCUAAAAUUGACAGUGACAUUCACUAUAAUUGGGAAAAAGUUCAAAGACGCAUGAUGGGUAUUUGGCAUAAUUCUAACACCUGUCUGGAUGUUUUAACUUUGCAUACUGAGAUUAUGAAUUUGAAGAAUGUUACUCUGCUGAGCUUUGAUGCUGCAUAUAUUGCUGAUAAAAUUAUUUGUGGUCUGAGGUCAGUAUUUCAAUCUUGGUCAAGCUUCAAGAAUGGCAUACAUAGCUUGAUCAUGCCAGCCCUUCUUGUCCUGGGAUUACUUUUAUUCCUGCUCCUCAUGAUAAAGCUUGCCUUUAACAACAUCAAUAUGUUGGCGGCCAAAGUAUGUGGCUUGAAACUAAAAAUGGACCCUCAGACAGAGUUAUUAAUUUAACAGGCUGGCAGCCAAGGAUGGGUAAGAUUCUGUAUAAAUCCUUACCAACCUAAGACAGAAGUGCAUUGCUUUUGAUAAAGUACAUUCCAUGAUGGGUAAGGAAGGCAUUAUUGUCAGAACGACCUAACACAGGUGCCGUCUUGUUUAUGAAAUAAAAAUGGGGGAGACGUGGAGAGCCAUUGGAGCUGCUUGACAAGAUUUUGUCAUUGGACCAAAAUAGGGAAGUCAGCUCAGGCAGGAAUCUGAUUUUAGGCUAGAACAGAGAAGCAAGUUCAGGCAGGAAUUUGACAUUGGGCUAGGACAGGGAAGUAAGUUCUGGAAGGAAUCUGAUUUUAGGCUAGAACAAAGAAGUAGUCUUCAGGCAAGAAUAUGACAUUGGGCUAGGAGAGGGAAGUAGGUUCAGAUAUCUUGGUCCUUCUGAUAAGCCCUAGGAAACAGUGAUCUAUGUUUAUUUGUCUUGCUUGUUCCUUGACUAUUUGUAUUCAUUGUCUGGCUUGCUCCUUAACUGAACUCAUUACUUGCAUGGAAUUAAAGUGGUAUAAAUGCAGACUGGGAAAAAUAAGCCCUCCUCAGCCUCAGAACUGACUGGAGUCAUGCUACAAAAAUAAUUGUUUUCUUACUCCUUUCCCCAAAACCCUCCUCUUCAUCCUGGGACCUAGAAAUCCUACCUUUUUCUCAUUUCCCAGCAAUUAGCUUCUGCUGCCUUUAUUGAAACAAUCAAGAAAUAGCACCUCCAUCUACAGUAUCUGACAACAAAUUUUAUGUAGUAGGUACUUAAUAAACAUCUAUUGAAUUGAGAUCACUGCAUAUGUUCAUUAAUACCUCAAUAAGUCAAUGUUGUUAAAUGUGAAGAAUAACCAUUUCUUCUCUAAAUAUUUUAGAGUUCUAGCUGUUUCAAGAACUAAGGGUUGCAGAUACUCGUGGUUUCUGUAGAAAUGGUUUAUCAAGUAUUCCAUGAUGCUUAUUGUAUAUUUCUUAUUCUGAGAAGUGAGUUACAUGAGGAAUAUAAUUGUGAUGAACCUUCUGUUGAUUUAAGUACCAUUUCUCCAGGUUAAAUAUUCCAGGUGUAUCUUCCACUACGUUAUAUGGUAACAGUGAAUGACUGAAAUUUGAUAGUCAACUGUUUAACACUCUGCUUCAGUCUCUCAUUAGGUGUCCUGUGUAACCUUACCAUAUUUUCGAGUAUGGACAAUGACUUGUACUCUCUGUGCAGUUGAAAGCUCACAGGUUACUUUAUUAUCUGCUACUGCCAUUUAUUAUGAAGACCACAAUGUAGAGUAAGAAUAUCUAAGCAACUUACCUCCUCUUUAAGUGUAGGUGUUAUAUGGUUUCUAUGAACAUUCCAUAUAUCAUUAAUAUAUAAUGGAUGGUAAAAUAGACCAUGAGUCAUAUAGUAUAUACUAUAUAUUACACUUCUACUUCAUCAAGUAGAAGUUAUUAUCAAAUAAAUAGUUGGUGAACAUCAAAUUAGUCUUAUUAUGAUCUAUUCUCUCAAUUUAUAAUGUACAUGUUCUUAGAACUCAUUCUUUAUCUCCUGCUUUCUUUUUUUCUUUGAUUUAACCUAAGUUGUAGAUUGAAGAAAUACCUCUCUCCAUGCUUGUUAUUACACAUACAUAGCAUUUAACCCUUUCUUUCAUUUGAUCAUCAAGACAACAGAACUGAAAGACUCAAACAUGUCUCUGAAUUAGUCUUGUUUUAAAUUGUUUGAAUCAGUUAACGUGUGUCAUUCAUUCAAUAUUAGUAUUAUAUAUCAGGUAAUGAGGGAAAGUUUGGCUAGAAACCUUUAGUAAUUGACCAACCUUGAUUUACUUUCUGUUUUUUUCCCCUUUCGAGCUGUAUGACCUUGGAUGAGUCAUUUAAUUUGAUUAAUUAUCACUUGACUCAACUGUGAAUUGAGAGGUGUGAUAAUAGUACCCUAUGACACUUCUGGGUUGGUUAUGUGUACUAAUUGCUAUAAUGCUUAAACUGUUUAAUAUAAUAUAGUUAUUAUGCUCGUAUGAUAUGCAUAAAUCUUGUUGAACAAGUUUCAUAUGUUUAGGCUAUAGUAAGGAAGUAAAAAUUUCAGUAUAUCCAUGUAUUACUUUAUCACCUGUACUGAGACUAAUAAUGUCUGUAUUUAUAUGUGCAUACUUACUUAAUAUGACUGAAUUUUGCAUAUGUAUAUACACUAUAAAUUUUCUAGUUAGCCUUUAGUCUCUGUAAAGGCAGUUAUACUCCAUAUUUGUCAAUUUUAAUACUUGUACCUGCCAUUGAAUGUGUUUAAUAUAUGACAAAUAAUAUUUAUAAAAUAAAUAAUUCUGUAGUGCUCUGUGAUGCAUCUUUGAACAGUCAGACACAAGUUGAGACCAUGGCAAUGCUGCUUUGGAGUCAAAGUCACCUGUGCCUUUCUUAGCCCCAGUAUUUUCCCUUAUACAAUGAGUUUUGUGAGGUUUAAUUGAGAAUGUCUAUUGAGUACAUAAUAGCAUUUUUUCUUUAUUUCUCUGCAAUGCUAGAAGUCAAACCCAAGGCCUCAUGAAUGAUAGCCAAGUACUCUACAACUGAACUGCAACUUCACUCCGCAAUAAAAUUCUUAUGAUUAAUCCUGAUUUAUGUUCAUAAAUAUGAUACAUAUUCAUAUUAUCAAGUUGGUAAACAUCAUUCUUCGUGGAAAAAUUAGUACUACCUAUUUCUUUUUACACAUGUUCAUACUUACAACCAUACUUAGGAAGAAUACAUACUUUACCAAAGACAAAGUUGUUCAUACAACAAUUUAAGGUCUCAGUAUUAAGGGAAAUUACACAGCUUUUAUAUUGUAUACUAUCACCUAGGUAAUUAAUUUAUGUCACUCCUCCAGGAAAAGAGAAAAUGAGCUGAGGUGCUUGUAAAAGUGGAAGAAAUACAGAAUAGGAAGAGUAGUAGAGGAAGGUAGCUAUAAGGGCCAAGUAAGUCUACAUGAUAAAUUGCAUAUAGUUGACAUGCAUGUUUCAGUCUUGUUUUGACAAAAGUAGUAUUAAAUAUAUAUCAGAUAUUUAUGUCUUCUUUUCUCUAUGUACCUUUUAUAUAAUGUAACAUGAAUUGAGAUAAAACAUCAUUAUCAUUUUUCAGUUAUGAGACGCUAAAAGAAUGUCCGUCAAGGGACAGUGUCACUUAUUCUAAAAUAAUAAUGAGUUAUCAGUAGUAUAUGGGAUAGUUGCAGUUUCACAUGGUUAUAUCACCUUUGGCAUAAUUAUAACCUGGUUAUUGUGUUUUAUUUAAAAAUUAAACAUGACACAGGGAGAUAGGAUUUGUACUAAGUUGACAAGGGGUGAACUUAUAAUCUAGGGUGUAAACUUGACUACAUCUGGAAGUAACUAAAACACAAGCAGCUGGGCAUGUCUAUGAGGGAUUUUCUUAGUUGGAUGAGAUUAGGUGGAGAGCAACCCUACAUCAGGAUAAUUUGAUGUUAGAAGACACACCCUAAAUCUGAGUCACACAUUCUGAUGGCAUCCCACAUAAAGGGACAUGGAAAAUGAAGCUUUUGCUGUAUGCCUGCUUGCCUUACUCUCUCUCACUGGACAGUUCAUGUGGUCUAUUCCUGAGCCAUUCCUUCCCUGGUGUUAGAACCUACUUCUUUGGAACUCCAAUGUAACCUGAAAGCUGGCAGCUUUCUAGGACCUCCCUGGGACUCCAGCCCUAGAUUGGGACAGCUGAUAUAUCUAGUCUUAUCAAUUUCUUGGCCUUUCUGUCAGCAGACAGCCAUUGCUGGACUACUUAGACCUCAGCUUAUGAGCCAAUCUAAUCAAUCCCUUAUCAGCCCUAUUCCUUUAGAGAUCAGGAGCUAAUAUUCUACUAAAUAAAAGAAAAUCUUGAGAGUAAGUAAAAUUAGUCUCCAACUGUUUCAUUCACAUACAAAUGAUGUGUAAGUUAUGUCUUUAGUUCAGUCUCCGUGAUAUAAACACAUUUUUUUUUUCUUUUUUUCGGAGCUGGGGACCGAACACAGGACCUUGUGCUUGCUAGGCAAGCGCUCUACCACUGAGCUAAAUCUCCAACCCCUACACAUUUUAAAAAAUAUCUUUAUUUGUGGGUUUUUUGUUUGUUUGUUUGUUUGUUUGUUUGCUUUUUGUCUUAUAGGCUUGAGCUAUCACUGAAAAGCUGACAGGAGUUUACUCAAGGCCUGUUCUGGCUUCUUUGAAACAAGCUUUCCUUAGUUUACCUGUUUGCUACACCUUAUCUUAUCAAGAUUGAGCUCUUGUGCCUUCCAAGGUUACAACCGGUUUAUUGGGCUAUGUUAUCUGUGCUGUUACACUAAAGGAUGGUACUGAGGGCAGAUCCCAAGACUUUUCUUCUCCUUCAAAGUAACAUCCAGCCUAAGAAUGACCUCCAGAAGAUAAGAAACCGACUUUACUUUCUGACUAGUUUCCUAGAUUAGAGGCAUUCAUGCUGUAGAGGAGUGAAACUUUGUGGACUAUGUUGUGCGGAUGUGACAACAGCAGUUAGUCCUAAAUCAUGGGAGAGACAGCCACUUUUUCUCUUCACAAUAUGAGCUUACACAUCUCACCCUGAUGACAUCAAAGCAUUCAAAAUUGCUUGAAAAACGUGUCCUAAUUCCUACAGAAACUGGAUUUUCUCCCUCGAUAACUGCAUCAAAAGGAAUGAGUGAUUUCAGCCAAAUCUUUAGUCCUCUCUUCUGCAACAGUGAGACAUGCUCUUCCUAAGUAUCUGUAUCUUUUACUUCUUAUGGGACAUAAGCCUGAAUUAUCAAAGAGUUAAUUAAGAUCCUCAUAAAUGAUAAGCCCUGGUAAGAAAGAUGUCGAUUUUGUGGAUAUUAAACCCACCAUGUAGACUCCUCAACAACUGAGAAAAAAUACCACACAACGGGGAUCUUUGGGAUUGUUCUCUGCAUGGACACAGGAUGAACCUUCAAGCCACAGUAAAUUGAAAUGAUGAAAUGAUGACUUGUUGACACAUAGUUUCUGAAUGGUGGUUAUUAGUUACCUAACCCUAACACUUUUUGCUACAAUUCAAGAAUGUCUUUUUCUGUUUCAAUGUACUUAUAGGAUUGUUUGAUUUACAUUACAAGACUUUUCAGAUCUCUCUCACCUGCUUUUAAUUCAUUAGUAGAACAUCCCUGUCUUCCACUGGUCACAUUCUUCUCUCACAUGCUUAUUUCCUCUGACUUACCACAUAACCACAGAUUAACUUCUAGUUUUGCUGUCUAACUAUACACAGGAAUGUUUAUAUACAUUUACUUCAUAAUUUUAGUUUUUAUGCCUAAACAACCACCUAACCGUGCUGAUAUGAACUUCUUAUAACAUGAACUUCUAAGUGUUUUAAAAUUCUACCCCCAGUGAA